CAUUGCAGAACGGAUGAAGAACAGCCAUUACCAGCCCAUUUCUCAACCACAGGUGUACACUGUUGGUUUCCACAACAUCCCAAGAGAGAACCGAAGGACACAGCGGCCUGUCAUACAGUGCAAGUAUAGCUUGGACCAGCUGCCGGUUGGAUGUGGUGGGAAGAUAAGGGCUGACAGCAUCGGGGCGAGUGACCGUUGAGCCCACAUCUUCACAGAGAUCUGCCUCCAUUGUUCAUCCCAGAUUAAGCUGCACUCGACGGGCGGACCGCAGGAACAGAGCGCACGCCUCCGGUACUUCACAGCACAAGACUCACAAAACAGCACGAGAAGAACCGUAUGAUGAUUGGCGGGACCCUCUGGCUGUCGCGCUCACUGGCCAACUGGUUUGGGGUUUUCCUCGACUGCAGCUGAACAUGAGAGAGGGACAUGAGGGAAACUGAGCGGGGAGGCGACAGGGACUCGGCGUGCUGCCCGCAAUUCGCGCCGGUGUUGCCUUUGGGAUCCUGGACCCAUCCAUGCACUUGCCACGUCCUUGAGCUUUCUUCUCCUCCUGCAAGACUGACCAAGUCAACACACACACAUCUACCAUCAGCUGACUACGGGUAUCAAAACUCAAAACCUGUGGGAAAAAAACGCUACAUGACAGCAGAGCCAUUAAUGAGACAGUCCAGACACACAUAUGCUACAUGCAUCUAUAAUAUUUAACUAAGUGCUUUGUAAGUGUGAAGUUUGUCUAAUAACAACAUCACAUGAGAUUGAUUGUACUUUGCCAUGAUUGCAAUCAUCCAUGGUGCAAAGUGUAUAACACGUUAGGAGGAACGAUGACAGAGAGAACAUUUAAAGGGUGGUGAAAGAUGAUCUACCGGAUUGUCACCACCUCUGAAGAUGUGUAUAAUUUAACUGCAACUGUGUGUGGCAGAUCUCUAUAAAGUUAAUUGUUUAUGAAAAACUGACUCAUUUGGAUAGAACAAGACUUAAUGUGUAGAUUUUAUGCAUAACAGUGCCGGCCCACCAAUACUAUUUCUGCCUGCGGAGAUACGGGUGCAUUUUACAAUUGUGUCUUUAAGAUGAGUUCAGAAGUUCUGUUCAACUGUUCAACUCAACCACACAGAAAGUUCUUGCGUUCUUACCUUUCUGGAAUCGGUGAUGGCCUCGACCUGGAAACACCCCGUCUGUGACCUGGUGAACUCAAUCCAUUCAUUCCGCACGCCUCCCGCUAAACCCACCCAUACUCAGACAACGCAGCUGUCCAAUCUCCCUCCAGGGUCAAAGGGAACAUCCUAAUGCUCAUCCCACUUGAGACUGGCACCUGUUGGCCCCAUCUUAGCCCCGGCCUUCAGAAAAACAACACGGAAUUCAAUAAAGCAAGAUCAUAGCCACGAGGCCUGACGUGCCGCCGUGCACCACACGUCCUUCCCCUUCCUCACUUCCACCAAUCAUUAAAAAGUUGAUCCACUUG
ensembl:lncRNA